UCUACCAGGUGUCCUGUGUAGCCUAUAUCCUGUCUAUCAGGUGUCCUGUGUAGAGCCUAUAUCCUGUCUAUCAGGUGCCCUGUGUAGCCUAUGUCUUGUCUAUCAGGUGUCCUGUUCUGUGUAGCCUAUGUCCUGUCUAUCAGGUGUCCUGUCCUGUGUAGCCUAUAUCCUGUCUAUUAGGUGUCCUGUUCUGUGUAGCCUAUGUCCUGUCUAUCAGGUGUCCUGUGUAGCCUAUAUCCUGUCUAUCAGGUGUCCUGUUCUGUGUAGUCUAUAUCCUGUCUAUCAUUCCAAAGGAGUUACAUAUUGUAUAUAUAUUUCACAUUAGUUUGCUGGUAAAAGUUGAAUAUAUGCUGUGGAACUUGAGGCCAUUGUUACCCUGUCU